CGUAAAUGUAUACUGGUGGAGGAGGUGAUUUCACGGGUGGAGGAGGUGAGUUGUAGUAGUAGGGGGGAGGAGGAGAUUUUACUGGUGGAGGUGGAGAGUGGUAAUAGUAGGGAGGUGGAGGAGAAGGUGACGGUGGAGGUGGUGACUUGUAGUAGUAGGGUGGAGGUGGUGAUGGGGAUGGUGGAGGAGGAGACUUGUAAUAGUAGGGUGGUGGAGGUGAUGGUGAUGGGGGUGGUGGAGACAUGUAGUAGUAAGGUGGUGGAGGAGAUGAUGAUGGGGGUGGAGGAGACUUGUAGUAGUAUGGUGGAGGGGGAGAAGGUGAUGGUGGCGGUGGGGACUUGUAGUAGUAAGGUGGUGGAGGAGACGGUGAUGGUGGGGGUGGGGACUUGUAGUAGUAAGGUGGGGGUGGAGAGGGUGAUGGUGGUGGCGGUGAUUUGUAAUAGUAUACAGGUGCAGGUUUUGGUGAUGGUGGUGGAGGAGACUUGUAGUAGUAAGGAGGUGGAGGAGAAGGUGACGGUGGAGGUGGUGACUUGUAGUAGUAGGGUGGAGGUGGUGAUGGGGAUGGUGGAGGAGGAGACUUGUAAUAGUAGGGUGGUGGAGGUGAUGGUGAUGGGGGUGGUGGAGACAUGUAGUAGUAAGGUGGUGGAGGAGAUGAUGAUGGGGGUGGAGGAGACUUGUAGUAGUAUGGUGGAGGGGGAGAAGGUGAUGGUGGCGGUGGGGACUUGUAGUAGUAAGGUGGUGGAGGAGACGGUGAUGGUGGGGGUGGGGACUUGUAGUAGUAAGGUGGUGGUGGAGAGGGUGAUGGUGGUGGCGGUGAUUUGUAAUAGUAUACAGGUGCAGGUUUUGGUGAUGGUGGUGGAGGAGACUUGUAGUAGUAAGGAGGUGGAGGAGAAGGUGACGGUGGUGGUGGUGACUUAUAAUAGUAUACUGGUGCAGGUUUUGGUGAUGGUGGUGGAGGAGACUUGUAGUAGUAAGGAGGUGGAGGAGAAGGUGACGGUGGUGGUGGUGACUUAUAAUAGUAUGGAUUUAUAAACGUAUGUCGGGGUUGGGGGAGGUGGUGACUUGUAAACAUAUGUUGGUGAUGGAGGAGGUGGUGACUUAUAAACAUAAGUUGGUGAUGGAGGUGGAGGAGAUUUAUAGUAGUAUGGAGCAGGUGUAGGAUUGGGUUUUUUGCAUUCGGCAUAAGGUGUCUUAGAGCCAUAAGCAAAUGGUUUUGCAUAGAGUACAACUUCAUAUUUAUUCUUUGACUUCACUUUGAGGUUAGCACCCUUAAUUCCCCAAUGAAGAUUUGUAGGAAUGCUACACUUUGAAUCCUUAGGAGCAUUGUGGAGUUUAGCCUUGCAAGCCUUUGCUCCAUAUUUGCUAUAUUCAAAUCCUUCAACAGUGAUGCUAAAUUUGCCAUUGAUCUUAGUGGUACCAUAACUCACAAUUUCUUUGUCACCGGCCUUGCAAGUCACUUCAACAACAACACCUAAUUCAUAGAAAGAAGAAAUAAUACUCAAUGAAUACUAAAAAUAAAUUUAAUUUACAAAGACACUUCUAAUGAUGAAUAGUAAAUUGUAAAGAAUAAAAAAUUUGAAAUAAAUUGAAGUAAAACAUAUAUUUGUACCUUUGAGGUGCUUCUUAGCAUGAGACUUUUCUGGGUAUUCCUUAUCAUAGCAUCUAAAACAGUAAACUUUUCCAACAACCUUGACUACAAAGUGAUGAUGUGGAGGAUAAUAGUGAGUAGGUGGUGGUGGGGAAGUGUAGUAGUAUGGUGGAGGAGAUGAUUUCUUUGGUGGUGGUGGUGAAGUGUAGUAGUAUGGUGAAGGAGACGACUUAGCUGGUGGUGGUGGAGAAGUGUAGUGAUACGGUGGAGGAGGUGAUUUCUUUGGUGGUGGAGGAGAGCUGUAGUAGUAUGGUGGAGGAGGUGACUUAGCUGGUGGUGGUGGUGAAGUGUAGUGAUAUGGUGGAGGAGGUGAUUUCUUUGGUGGUGGAGGAGAGUUGUAGUAGUAUGGUGGAGGAGGAGACUUCUUCGGGGGUGGUGGAGAACUAUAGUAAUAUGGUGGUGGAGGUGACUUCUUGGGUGGGGGUGGGGAGUUGUAGUAGUAAGGUGGGGGUGGUGAAGACUUAGGAGGCGGUGGAGAUUUAUAGUAGUAAGGUGGUGGAGAUGACGGUGAUGGUGGUGGAGGAGAUUUGUAAUAGUAAGGUGGUGGUGGAGAAGGCGAAGGAGGUGGUGGAGAUUUAUAGUAGUAUGGUGGAGGUGGUGAUGGUGAGGGUGGUGGUGGAGAUUUGUAAUAAUAUGGUGGCGGGGGUGAUGGUGAAGGUGGUGGAGGAGAUUUAUAGUAGUAUGGUGGUGGUGGUGAAGGUGAUGGCGGAGGAGGUGACUUGUAGUAAUACGGUGGAGGUGGUGAUGGUGACGGGGGAGGUGGAGACUUGUAUACAUAUGGUGGUGGUGGAGAGGGAGAUGGAGGUGGUGGAGACUUGUAUACAUAUGGUGGUGGUGGAGAUGGUGAAGGAGGAGGUGGAGAAGUAUAGACAUAUGGAGGCGGGGGAGAAGGUGAAGGAGGAAGUGGAGAUUUGUAUACGUAAGGUGGAGGCGGAGAAGGAGAAGGAGGUGGUGGUGACUUGUACUCAUACGCGGGAGGAGGUGGAGAAGAAUAUACAUAAGGGUCAGCCGAUACUACAUUUGCCACAACCAAUACGGCCAAAGCCACUAAGAUCAGCCGCAAACGACGACCCCUUGUGGGGCCGCCACCGUUAAACUUCAUUUUCGCCGGAAAACACAACCACCCACCCCUCAAAUAUGGCUACAAAAAUCUCCAAAAACUUGAAGAAAAAAAAGAGAGGAAGACUAUAGUGUUAUAGUUGAGAAGUGAUGAAUUUAGUUGAUUGAGUGUACAAAGUAUUUAUAGUAACAUUUUAAGAAUAACUACUAGCUGGUAUAGAGUUGUCAACAAGUGACCAAUUCAAUUAAUCUGAUUGUUAAUCAAUGAUUAAAAUUAUUAAGAACUUAAAACAGCUAGAUGAAUUUUUUAUUUUAUUUUUAUUUUUAAAGUCCAUUACUAGAUCACUUUGAAUUUUCCAUGCAACUUCUUUAACAAGUAAAUAUAAACAUAUCAUAAAAUGGUUUAAGGCAAGUGAGUGCUAAUUUAAAAUUAUUUCCACUUCUCUUGCAUUUUUGAACUUUUUGUUUUGUCUCAUAGAGAGUGAGAUCUCACAAUUAUUUGUGUUUUUCUAUUUACAAAUAAUUAUUCAUUAUGUAGUAUGUUCUUAAAUAUCUUUUGCAUAACAUUAUGGAUUAUCACGAGGUGGACGAUUCUUUACUUUAACGAGGUUUCGAGAUUGAAUUUUAGGAAUGAAGAUAUUACUGGUAGGGAGAAUAGGCCCUAUGCAUAGGAAAUUUGAAUUAGUUGAGCCGAUAAGUUCCUAAUACUAUGAUUAUGACGGAAAAGACAAAAUUGUCUUGAUUUAGAGUACAAAUUAUUUUGUAAAUUGUGGACUAGAAACUUAAUUUGUAAUACAACAAUUUCUUUAAGAUUGAAAUGUUUCAACAAUUACAAAUGGAAGUACUCUAAAAUGCUAUACAAUGUUAGUUUAGUUACAUUGCUUGUGGAGACUUGGCAUGACAUGCACAAAUCAAGAAAUGGUCCGAAUUUAAUUCAAUCAUUUUUUAUAAGGAGCGUUUUAUCGUCCAAUAUGAAAUGUUUUGACGUGAAUUUGAGUUAUUGAACUACAAAACAGAAACUAGACACCAGACACUAAACACCAGAUGAAAAAACCCCUAAAAAUAAAUAAAGAAUUACCUAAUCAUGUUUGUUUUGUUUAUUACACAUUUCUGAAUUGUAAGUGUAUAUAUAUAUAUAUAUAUAUAAUAAGAGAAUAUUUCUGUCAUUUUUGUUUAAUUACAGGGAAUAUUGGAUAUUAGUUCUGACAUUAUACUAAUUUAAAAUUACAAGCCGACAUAAGUUCAAUUAUUUCCUUAGUUGACUUUAAUUUCCUCCCUAAUUGUUACUUUAUUUUUUAUUAUUAUUUCUUAAUGAGGAUAUUAUAUGUUUGUUCCCUCAAUUACUAAUGAAUUUAGGUUUUGAUCCUUGUAAUAUUAGACGAAACACAUUCAAAUUUAAUGAGUUAAAAAGUGGAUUUAUCCCUUCAUGUACCGAAAUAUGCUAUAUUUAAACUAUUUUCAGAAUUAUAUUAUCCUAAAAUAUGAAGUAACAAUACAAAUUUAAAAUAACAUAUUGAUAAUUGAAUAAGUUAACUCUUAAUAAUUCACUAAUUUAUUAAAGUUCAAUGUCAGAUUGAUCAAAAGUGCAUAUAUGAUCAAUUGAUUGGACCACAAAAUAAGGAUCAAACUAUAUAUUUACAUAUUUUGUAACUAUAUUCUUUUUUCUUAUAUAAGUAUUUUCAUUGUAAUAAUAUUUGAAAAUGCAUGUGAAUUCUCAAUGAUGAGAUCAACUACAUGUGGAUGCAAUACUUAUAGUUUUUUUUGCAGCUUUUUAUUGGUCCAAUUUUUGCAAAAAGGAUCAUCAAAAGCAUAGAACAAACUAGAAAUGGAUUUUUAUCCUUUUUGGCGCAUUAUGAUGGGAAAUUUUAUAUGAUUUUUUUUAAUUUUUUUGAUGCUUGGUUGUAAGAGAAUAUUUUGGCAUUAUACAUAAAUAUGAUUUUUAAUUUGGCUUCAACUGAUAUUUAUGUCCUUCAACUUUAAGUGUACAUAAGUAACCACUAAAACUUGUACAAAAUUAAACAAGCAUAUACAUACCUUUUACAUGACGUCCUAUGUGACAAUUUGCAUCCUACAUGUCGCAUCCUACGUGUAAUAUGUCACAUAAGACGUGUGCGUCUACUUGUUCAAUUAUAUACAAGUUUUUAAGUAUCUACUUGUGUGCACUCAAAGUUUGAGGACAUGGAUACCAAUUGAAGUCAAAUUAAAAAACACAUUUAUAUGUUAUGCCUAAUAUUUUUUCUGCCAUAUGACGUUUCUCACUUUUAGGCGAAAGUCAUUUUCCUUUAUAAUUAUAACGAUUUUGAAUCACAAUUUUAUUCAGUACUUGGUUAUUAUUGAUCAAUUUUGCUUGUGAAAAAUAAUCGUUGUUAUGAAGCUAUAUAUCAUUUGGGACCAAAUUGACCUUCUUAUUGAUUUGUGCACAAACUAACAAAAUACAAUUUAAUUAGUAGGAAUGAAUAAUUUGAGGAUAUCCUCAAUACAAACAAUAAAUUACAAAGAAAUAAACACUAUGAAGCAUUGUUCCAUUGACGUUUGAAUCUUCUCCUCAAGAAGCCAUCAUAAUUUAUUUUGUGCUUCAAACUAAAACCUGAAAAGAAACAAUCAAAAAGAAAAUUAGAGCCUUAAUUCAAAGAAAAGAAGUAGACUAAAUUAAUCUGUGAAAAAGAAUCACAAUUCAAAUGUCAACUCACUUGAUUGAUUGUGGAGAAUGAUUGAACACUUGAAAUUUCUUAGUAGUGAAUGGGAGGUGGUGGUGAAGCGUAAAUAUAUACUGGUGGAGGAGGUGAGCUAUAGUAAUAAGGAGGGGGAGGAGACUUUACUGGUGGAGGGGGAGAGUGAUAGUAGUAAGGAGGUGGGGGAGAAGGCGAUGGUGGAGGAGGCGACUUGUAGUAGUAGGGUGGUGGAGGAGAUGGUGAUGGAGGUGGUGGUGACUUGUAGUAGUAUGGUGGAGGGGGAGAAGGUGAUGGAGGAGGAGGAGACUUGUAGUAGUAGGGUGGUGGAGGUGAUGGUGAUGGUGGUGGUGGAGACUUGUAAUAAUAGGGUGGUGGAGGAGACGGUGAAGGUGGUGGUGGUGACUUAUAGUAGUAUGGUGGUGGGGGAGAUGGUGACGGUGGUGGAGGAGACUUGUAGUAGUAGGGUGGUGGGGGAGAUGGUGACGGUGGUGGUGGUGACUUAUAGUAGUAUGGUGGAGGAGGAGAAGGUGACGGGGGAGGAGGGGACUUGUAGUAGUAUGGUGGUGGAGGAGAUGGUGAUGGUGGUAGUGGGGACUUAUAGUAGUAUGGUGGAGGAGGUGAAGGAGAUGGUGGUGGUGGAGACUUGUAGUAGUAAGGUGGGGGUGGUGAUGGUGAUGGGGGUGGUGGUGAUUUAUAAUAGUAUACAGGUGCAGGUUUUGGUGAUGGUGGAGGUGGAGAUUUGUAGUAAUAAGGAUGUGGUGGAGACUUAGUUGGUGGUGGUGGAGAUUUGUAAUAGUAAGGAGGUGGAGGCGAUGGUGAUGGAGGUGGUGGUGAUUUAUAAUAGUAUAUAGGUGAAGGUUUUGGUGAUGGUGGAGGUGGAGACUUGUAAUAAUAAGUAGGUGGUGGUGGAGACUUGUAAACGUAUGCCGGAGUUGGAGGAGGUGGUGACUUGUAAACAUAUGUUGGUGAUGGAGGAGGUGGUGACUUAUAAACGUAAGUUGGUGAUGGUGGUGGAGGUGAUUUAUAAUAAUACGGAGCAGGUGUAGGCUUGGGCUUUUGGCAUUUCGCGUAAGGUGUCUUAGAGCCAUAAGCAAAUGGUUUUGCAUAGAGAACAACUUCAUAUUUAUUCUUUGACUUCACUUUGAGAUUAGCACCCUUAAUUCCCCAAUGAAGAUUUGUAGGAAUGCUACACUUCGAAUCCUUUGGAGCAUUGUGGAGUUUAGCCUUGCAAGCCUUUGCUCCAUAUUUGCGAUAUUCAAAUCCUUCAACUGUGAUGCUAAAUUUGCCAUUGAUCUUAGUGGUACCAUAACUCACAAUUUCCUUGUCACCAGCCUUGCAAGUCACUUCAACAACAGCACCUAAUUCAUGUAUAAAAAAGAAAUAAUACAUCAGUUAACAUGAAAUUAAUUGAGUUGUUAAUAAAUUAUCAUUUAGAUAUUUCCACUUCUGGUAAGAACAAACAAUGUUGCUUGAGUGUAGUAUAUAUAAAUUAUAAAGUCUAUGGUACCUUUUAGGUGUUUCUUGCCAUGAGACAUUUCUGGAUGCUUCCAAUCAUAACAUCUAAAACAAUAGACUUUGCCAACAACUUUGACCACGAAUUGAUGAUGUGGAGGAUAGUAGUGAGUUGGUGGUGGUGGUGAAGUAUAGUAGUAUGGUGGGGGAGAAGACUUCUUUGGUGGUGGUGGUGGAGACUUAUAGUAGUAUGGAGUUGGAGGUGACUUAACUGGUGGUGGUGGGGAACUGUAGUGAUAUGGUGGAGGAGGUGAUUUCUUUGGUGGUGGUGGUGAGGAGUAGUAAUAUGGAGGAGGUGAUGACUUAACAGGUGGUGGUGGAGAAGUGUAGUGAUAAGGUGGGGGAGGUGAUUUCUUUGGUGGUGGUGGUGAUGAGUAGUAAUAUGGUGGAGGGGGAGACUUCACUGGUGGUGGUGGAGAAUUGUAAUAGUACGGUGGAGGAGGUGAAGGUGAAGGUGGUGGUGGAGACUUGUAAUAGUAAGGUGGUGGUGGUGAUGGUGAUGGAGGAGGAGGAGACUUGUAGUAGUAUGGUGGUG
rnacentral:lncRNA from 1 species